AUGGAAAAUUAUAGGACUUGAGUGAAACUGUAGGAUUGCUGGGAUUCCCACAGGCACCCAGCCCUGGCUUGGGGAAUGUUUGAGUGUGGGAACUGCCCCAGCAUCUCCUCACAGGAGAACCAGGGGAUUCGCCCUUUGUGAGAACAGAAGUACCUCUCACCUGCCAUCUGGGGCAGAGCUCCUGUGCCCUGGCAUCCUGCGCCUGAGGCAGAGCACCUGCGGGAUCCUUGGAAAACACAAAGCUAUGUGGCUGAAGCUCCUGCUUUGGGGCUCGGGGUUCAGGUGGGAUACACUAGACUACUCUCCCCAUUCGAUUCUUGCAUUUGGCAGAUGGGUCACCCGGGCAGCGGGAUGAGGAGGGCACCAACAAAAUCAACAGCAGGAAGGCGGCUCUCACCGGGCCCCAGAGAGGGAGGCAGCGGUGAGGAAACAACUUCAGAGAAGUAAAGCAGCUUGCCAAAGGCCACACAGCUAUUCAACACCUCUUGCUUCACAUAUAGCUGAUGCUGAGUCCUUCAGAGGAAUUGAGACUUCAUCUCAAAAAAAAAAAAAAUUGAGAGCCUGCUGGGGAGGCAGGGAGCAGCUAUUUCUGCUCAAGGCAAUCACUGAGGCUGGGCCUGCACGGAAUUCGUGAGGAAGCACCCUAGAGAAGGCUGGUGGCUUGGGAGACACUGGAUUUUCUGGCUCAGCUGGGCACAGUGCAAGGUGCUGUACAUAAAUGUCUUCACCGAUUCCUGGAAGGAUGCCCAGGUCGGGACACUCACUGUGAGUUGCAAAAAAGGAAAGGGGAGCCCUGAGAAGGAAGGCAGGAACAAGGGCUCCUGGCCAGAGGUGUGGAGCUGCAUGGAAAUCUUCUCGAGUGGGAUGCCCAGGCUUCCCUACCAGAUACCAGAAGCUCCAGCUGAGUGGCUCUGCAGAAGGCUAGGUAUCACUGGGUGAGUGGGCUUGCAUCCUACACACUCUUCAUC